rnacentral:lncRNA from 13 species
UAAUAUUCUCUCUCUCCUCCUCCCCCCUCCCUCCCUCCCUCCCUCCCUCCCUCCCGUUUAGUUCCAGAUGGUUCUUGUCCAGUCUGUGUUAAUAUCCUCUCUCUCUCCUGUGUUUAGGUCCAGGUGGUCCAGUCUGUGUUAAUAUCCUCUCUCUCUCUCCUGUGUUUAGUUCCAGGUAGAUCCGGUCCAGGUGAUGUGACCUAUGCUGACAUCAACCACACUGAUAAGAGACAACACAACAGGAGGAGAGGUCGUUCCAGACCCUGUCUACUCAGCAGUGAAGACAGACAGAGAUACAGGUCAAAAGGUUGUUCCAGACCCUGUGUACUCAGCGGUGAAGACAGAUAGACAGAGAUACAGGUAGAGCUGUAUCUGGAUCCUGGGACUUAACGUACAGACUGAGUGACCCUGUUCAUCAGAACAUCAUGGUGUUGGAGGUCUUCACUGUAGUAGACUGGAUCAGCUCCUUUGUCCCUCACUCAUCUCUCUCUCCUCUCUCUUUACCU